GCUGUGGUUAUUAGUUGGAUUCAUCAAAUACAUUUACCUUGUCCUAUUGAUGCCUUCUCCCAAACCUCUAUAUAAACCCCAGUACACAGCCUCCUUCUCUCCCAACUCCAAUAAGCACACUAAAAAUCGAUACAUAUAUAAACAUAUACAUAUAUAUUUGUAAUAUAUACAUAAUGGCAGCUUGUCUUGAGAAGGGCGCCGAGGAACAAACCCUAAAAUGGGAAGGCAAGGCUUGUGCCCAACUCUUAGGACCCAAGCCCGAACAAAUUUGGCCCUUCUUGGAGGACUUCUUCGGCCUCAGCAAGUGGUUCCCAACCCUCACCACUUGCAAGGGCGUUGAGGGCGUUGAGGGCCAGCCCGGGUGUGUCCGCUACUGUGCCGGGUUCAGAACCCCAGUCGAUGACAACUACUACUUCCGCGUAGACAAGGAGCGGACCAUGAACUGGACGAAGCAGAAGCUGCUGUCGAUCGACCCGUUGGAGAUGACCCUCAGCUACUCCAUUGUGGACAGCAAUGUCGGAUUCAACUCCUACUUGUCGAGGGUCAGGGUGGUCCCCAUCGAGGACGGGUGCUCCAUUGAAUGGGAGUACGAGGUCGAGCCGGUUAAAGGGUGGAGGCUGGAGGACCUCCACGGGUUCAUUGGGUCAGGGUUGCAAAUUAUGGCCAAGAGAAUGGAGGAAGCGCUUGCGCAAACAAAUUGAUCGAUGAGAAGUUGGGGGCCUUCCUCGACAGAGAUUAAAAAUGCCAUAUGAUGCCAAGUGUCACUGGUCGGAACGUUGAGGAGUACGGCGUCGGACUUGAAUAGGACUAUCUUGAACUGUGAGGACCUUUUGGGUUGACGAACUUCUCUGUCCAUCUUCCAUUUAGGGAGUAAGGCUUGUCAUGAAUUGCCUAAUAGAAUUUUGUAUGUGUGGCCGCUAUAUAUGGGCAAGAGGAGCCAUUUCUAAUGUGAGACUCUGAGAUUGUAAUUGAAGAAGAACCAGCUUUCCAGCUAUUUUUUUGUCCUUUUCUUCUUUUGUCUGUUUCCUAAUUUUGACUUGAAAAUCACAGAAA